ACUGCGGAGGCCGUUGACCGCCUGGUAGAUGCCCUUCGAGGAGGCAUCAGGUGGAGAUCAGACAGGCAACCGGAGGAGGAGGAAAUGUCGGAGAAGAUGAUCGAAGGCGGUCCCGUUGAGCGCUCCUUUAAGAACAAGGGUACUGCGAAGGUUCAGUCCCUUCCUCUAGCGCCAAUCCUGUUGGUGCAAAAAUUCACCGGUGUCGGAGA
rnacentral:lncRNA from 1 species